rnacentral:misc_RNA from 1 species
GGGAGUGAGCGAGGAGUGAGCCGGGAGUGAGCCAGGAGUGAGCAAGGAGUGAGCAAGGAGUGAGUCAGGAGUGAGCGAGUGAGCGACUGGCUGGCUGGUUGGCAGUGAAUAACACCCUCCCCUACCUCAAAAGCAGUCUAUCUUAAUAUGUGUACAAUCCCCAACAAUGAUUCACUCCUCGCAGGAGUGUAAGAGGAGCACAGAAAGUAGCCAUAACGUGCAUGAUGCUAUCAAUCGGUAGCAGCUGAUAAUCAUAUCUUUAAUGUUUGAAAUAUGUUUAUGAGAUAUGUUAAUCAGAAUUAUAUGUUUUGCGUAAAACUUCGAAAAUGUAUUUAAAAAUAUAUAUAAAAGCACAAUUAUGUCGCACUUUAUGAGUAAAAUGUUAUUAUACAAAGUAAUACCAAUUUAUUUCGAAAAAAAUGCAUAUAUUAUAAUAAAAGAAGUAAUUAGCUAAA